GAUGAAGAACGUAGCAAAAUGCGAUAAGUAAUGUGAAUUGCAGAAUUCAGUGAAUCAUCGAAUCUUUGAACGCACAUUGCGCCCGCUGGUAUUCCGGCGGGCAUGCCUGUUCGAGCGUCAUUUCAACCCUCAAGCCCCCGGGUUUGGUGUUGGGGAUCGGCUCUGCCCUUCUGGGCGGUGCCGCCCCCGAAAUACAUUGGCGGUCUCGCUGCAGCCUCCAUUGAGUAGUAGCUAACACCUCGCAACUGGAACGCGGCGCGGCCAUGCCGUAAAACCCCAACUUCUGAAUGUUGACCUCGGAUCAGGUAGGAAUACCCGCUGAACUUAAGCAUAUCAAUAAGCGGAGGA
rnacentral:misc_RNA from 1 species